GGUCAGAUGAUGCUACAACAACAUAUUCCUGAGAUUCUCUUUGAGGAAUACAAAAUUGAGGUUUUUAAGACUGAUGGCCA
rnacentral:snoRNA from 1 species